UACAGAGGUCUCAAGCGUUGUUCGGAUUCAUUGGGCGUAAAGGGUGCGUAGGCGGCGCGGUAAGUCGGGUGUGAAAUCUUGGAGCUUAACUCCGAAACUGCAUUCGAUACUGCCGUGCUUGAGGACUGGAGAGGAGACUGGAAUUUACGGGUGUAAGCGGUGAAAUGCGCAGAUAUCAGGAGGAACACCGGUGGCGAAGGCGCCACUCUGGGCCGGUACUGACGCUGAGGAGCGAAAGCGUGGGUAGCAAACAGG
rnacentral:rRNA from 1 species